rnacentral:rRNA from 1 species
AUUGAACGCUGGCGGCAUGCCUUACACAUGCAAGUCGAACGGUAACAGGUCUUCGGAUGCUGACGAGUGGCGAACGGGUGAGUAAUGCAUCGGAACGUGCACAGUAGUGGGGGAUAGCCCGGCGAAAGCCGGAUUAAUACAGCAUACGACCUGAGGGUGAAAGGGGGGGAUCGCAAGACCUACCGCUAUUGGAGCGGGCGAUGUCAGAUUAUCUAGUGGGUGGGGUAAAGGCGUACCAAGUCAACGAUCUGUAGUUGGUCUGCGAGGACGACCAGCCACACUGGGACUGAGACACGCCCCAGACUCCUACGGGAGGCAGCAGUGGGGAAUUUUGGACAAUGGGCGCAAGCCUGAUCCAGCAAUGCCGCGUGCAGGAAGAAGGCCUUCGGGUUGUAAACUGCUUUUGUCAGGGAAGAAAUCUUCUGGGUUAAUACCUCGGGAGGAUGACGGUACCUGAAGAAUAAGCACCGGCUAACUACGUGCCAGCCGCCGCAGUAA